rnacentral:rRNA from 1 species
GUCGUAACAAGGUUUCCGUAGGUGAACCUGCGGAAGGAUCAUUACCUAGAGUUUGUAGACUUCGGUCUGCUACCUCUUACCCAUGUCUUUUGAGUACCUUCGUUUCCUCGGCGGGUCCGCCCGCCGAUUGGACAACAUUCAAACCCUUUGCAGUUGCAAUCAGCGUCUGAAAAAACAUAAUAGUUACAACUUUCAACAACGGAUCUCUUGGUUCUGGCAUCGAUGAAGAACGCAGCGAAAUGCGAUAAGUAGCGUGAAUUGCAGAAUUCAGUGAAUCAUCGAAUCUUUGAACGCACAUUGCGCCCCUUGGUAUUCCAUGGGGCAUGCCUGUUCGAGCGUCAUUUGUACCUUCAAGCUCUGCUUGGUGUUGGGUGUUUGUCUCGCCUCUGCGUGUAGACUCGCCUUAAAACAAUUGGCAGCCGGCGUAUUGAUUUCGGAGCGCAGUACAUCUCGCGCUUUGCACUCAUAACGACGACGUCCAAAAGUACAUUUUUACACUCUUGACCUCGGAUCAGGUAGGGAUACCCGCUGAACUUAAGCA